rnacentral:rRNA from 1 species
AGUGAACGCUGGCGGUAGGCCUAACACAUGCAAGUCGAACGGCAGCACAGUAAGAGCUUGCUCUUACGGGUGGCGAGUGGCGGACGGGUGAGGAAUACAUCGGAAUCUACUUUUUCGUGGGGGAUAACGUAGGGAAACUUACGCUAAUACCGCAUACGACCUACGGGUGAAAGCAGGGGAUCUUCGGACCUUGCGCGAUUGAAUGAGCCGAUGUCGGAUUAGCUAGUUGGCGGGGUAAAGGCCCACCAAGGCGACGAUCCGUAGCUGGUCUGAGAGGAUGAUCAGCCACACUGGAACUGAGACACGGUCCAGACUCCUACGGGAGGCAGCAGUGGGGAAUAUUGGACAAUGGGCGCAAGCCUGAUCCAGCCAUACCGCGUGGGUGAAGAAGGCCUUCGGGUUGUAAAGCCCUUUUGUUGGGAAAGAAAAGCAGCAGGUUAAUAACCCGCUGUUCUGACGGUACCCAAAGAAUAAGCAACGGCUAACUUCGUG